UACGUAGGGGGCAAGCGUUGUCCGGAUUUAUUGGGCGUAAAGAGCGUGUAGGCGGCCUUACAGGUCAGCUGUGAAAACUCGAGGCUACAACCGUCGAGACCGUCGGUUGAAACCGUAUGGCUAGAGUCCGGAAGAGGAGAGUGGAAGUUCCGGUGUAGCGGUGAAAUGCGCAGAUAUCGGGAAGAACACCCGUGGCGAAGGCGG
rnacentral:rRNA from 1 species